rnacentral:lncRNA from 1 species
UGAAAAUAAAUAAAAAUAGUAUGAGAUACUAUUUUAUUGGGUUUAGAGAAGUGAAAUAUAGAUUGGAAAUGACCUGUGCUGAAAUCGGAGCGAAAACAGAAGAUUUAGAAUUUUCUGUGAGAAACGGGGCAGAUAAAUUAGCAGAAAAUGCACAGUGUCAGAAAAUUAUGAAAACUGUAGGAUAUGUCAGAAAUAUUUUUAUGAGGCUAGAUUUAAAGUUUCAUACCAUUCUGACACCCGUAGAGUGAGAAAUCAAAUCCGACAGUUAUCUGAUUAAGAUUACAGUUCGGCACAGUUUUCGGUGACCAAACGGGGUCGAAACUGAGAACUUAAGAUAUAUCCUUACUCAGCACGUUAAACUGAGCCUGCCUGUCAAAUUUGAGCUCAAACGGACAUUCAGAAGGGCUCCAACGAAACUUAUCAGAUUAGGGACUAAACUGGAAGGUUGAAUAGUUGAGGGGCUAACUUGUAAAAAGGGAUUAAAUCCCUUUCUUCUCCUUCCUCAGCCGAAUGCAACCCGCACACACACACAACACACACGCAUACAUGGAAAGGAAGAGAGAGAAAACUUUUUUUCUUCUCUAGAUCUCUCCAAAAUGAAUGGAUUGGUGGAGAUGAAAUUGGAGUGGAUGUCUUCAUCUUCUUCAUCUUCUCAUGGUUUUGGAGUUAGUUUGAGAGGUAAUCUUCGAUGCCCUUUAUGGUGAAUUGUAGGGCUUCAAUUAUACUCUUCUAAAUAUGGAUUUAUUGAGAUCUAUGAUGUAAUAGAUGAUUGUUGCCUUAAAUACACGAUCAAUUUAAUGAUUUAUUGGAGUAGUUUGAGAGGUAAUCUUCCGAUGCCCUUUAAUGGUAGAAUUGUAGGGCUUCAUUAUAUACUCUAAAAUGGAUUUAUUGGAUCCUAUGAUGCUUAAUAGAUAUUGUUGCUUAAAUCAGCCGAUCAAAUUUAAUGAUUUCUUGCCUAGUUAUAACCUAAGCUUCUAAAAUGCAAAUUUUGCUAUUAGUAGGCGUUUGAUCUCGUUUGACCUCCGUAACCUAAUUGAUAGAGUAAACGAACACGUUGGCGAAGACGGUUCGGCGAUUCGUCGAGCGGUGCGAAGUUAUUAAAGAAGGACGUUUAGGCUUCAUAUUUCCGCCUGGAGGGCCGAGGCGACGUCGUAAAUCAUGGAAUCGGAUUUGAGGCACGUAAAACAAAACGGAAGACCCUUUUGCCCGAGGCCUACGAUUCGAUGGCGGGUUGAGUGCGCAAUUGCAAGUUCGGACGGAACACCGAGAUGCCGCGGGAGGCCGAUUGCAAGCUAUCGACAAAGCAAUCGGAAUGCCACUACAGGUGGGUAAUGUGCUUACCGAAGCCGGACGUAGGUCGCCUUCAUGUCGAGAAAAUAUGAUUUACCUAGUUAUGAUUAAUGGUGUUAAAUGGCUAUUAUGAUGCAUAUAAUGUAAUUGCUAGAUGUUGCAUAUAAUGUAAAUGCAUGAUGACAUGAGGCAUAUAUUAUAUGAUGUUGACAUAUCAUGAGAGGCUAGUUAACAUAUAUAUACAUGAUAGGGUAUUGGAUAGCUGCAUUUCUGUUCUUGCAUGAUCCUUAGUAGUGUAGCAACAUGAGUUGAUAUUUGAGUCAGGAUGCAUGAGAAUAGAGGAAUGGUGACCUAGAACCCUUUAGAGAUAAGUUAAAUAAUAACUUAAUCUUGCACUGUUGAAUAUGAUGAUAUAUGACUAAAUAGUCGAGGUAUUACAUUGUGACGAGUGGGAUACAACCAAGUAAACAACUUGACGAGUGCCAUUAGAACUUAGUGUUAAAAGAACACCUGUGCAUGAUGGUCCUAGUGACAAGAUAUUCUCGUUGGACACAGAACUGAUCAUACUCAUUGUCUGUUCCCAGCUUGUGAUGGUCGCUCCACACAAGUAGUGCGCUCCGGAGUUCGUCACGUGGGAUAGCCUAUUUGGGGUCCCGUGGGAUAGGGAUAGCCUAUUUGGGGUCCCGAGGGAUAGCCUAUGUGGGGUCCCGCAGACGGUCUCGGAUUCGUAGUUUGAGUCACGAGGGAUGGCCUAUGUGGGGUCCCGAUGACGGCUCCCUACGAAUCGAGAUGGCUCGCCAGUAGAUUGGGUAAUGUACUCACGAGAAUUCUACAAAUUAGGCAUGAGCGAUAGUCGAGUCCUAGUAGAGUGGACAUUAGGCUGAGGUGCAAGUGAGACGUCCUUCGCCUCGAGCCUGGCUUGUGCGGUACUCCGCAGACGAUUGACUCAAGAUUGAGUUGGGCGAUUAGCUUUGUAAAGGUAGAUGAAACUUUAUGACAAAAGCGGUAAAGGACAGAAAACCUUAAAUGCCAAUUGGAUGAAAGUAGUAAUCGAUUGAAUUUCUAGUUGGUUGUAUAGCUGUAUUAUUGCAUGAUCUUCAUAUUGCAUAUCGCGAGGCAAUGCAUGGUAUUGUGAGUUGCAUAAUCUUAUUAUCAUAUCUAUCUGUUUAUUGAACUAACUUGCAGUGUCACGCCCCGAGCCCGAUCCCUUUUGGCCGGUUCGAGAGCGUCAAACAGACGCCGAACGGACAGAGCUUCCCCUGUCCGCCCAAGGCUCAACACAAGUAUCAAUAGAGUACAAUUUGCAUAAGCGGAAGCAUACACGAUGGCUAGCGCGAGGGCAAGCAAUAGCCAAGGCGAAAGAAUUAACAAUUCAAUAUACAAGUAAUAUGACUAAAUUUAAAUCACAUAUAUGCAUCCAACUAUAAUCGAGUUGUUCACAUUCUUGCAUUAUUUCUUUUUACAUCUCAUUUCACCCAAAAUAUAACUUUUGACAUUUAAAAUCAAGAUUCUUUACAUCAUUCAUUAAAGCAAGUUCGUGAUACUAAAAUCAUCAAAUACAAAAGAUGAUAGUAAAGGGUAUGCAACUACAAAAUGAUAAGCAUCUCGGGCGGUCUCUAGUUAGGGCGCGAUGCCCUUGCCCCGAUCGUCUACCAUCUCGCUGGGUCCCGGCACUGUGAAAUAGGGGUGUGAGAACUACAAUAAAGUUCCCAGUGGGUUCGGCAACCAACCACGCCGACUAUCCCACUAGGUCUAAUCAGGCAUAAUAAAAUGAAAGGAAGUAAGUAACCAACUAACAGAUGCAACUAAUAUGCCUGAACGAUAUAAAAUGAUAUGCACAAUGUAAAGCUCAUGAUGAAUGCAAGGUCACAGUGUCAAUACCCAAUCUCUUGGCUAACCCGUAGGUUUCGCCCUCAACAAACUCACCAACUCAAAAUCCCAAUGAUCGGGGAGAUACUCGCUACACCCGAUGGGACCGCCCUCUGGGAAGAUACUCUCUACACCCAGUGAUGUCGACUCCGGAGCACAUCACCCGAGGGGGAGCUACCACAACCUCGAGCAAGGACUAAAGUGAGUACGAUCAAUGUAACAUACCAGAUUUUAAAUAUAAAAGAGAAAAAUAAAUAAAAAUAGUAUGAAAUACUAUUUUAUUGGAUUUAAAGAAGUGAAAUAUCGGUUGGGAACGACCUGUGCUGAAAUCGGAGCGAAAACAGAAGAUUUAGAAUUUUCUGUUGGAAACGGGACUGAUAAAUUAGCAGAAAAUGCACAGUCUCAGAAAAUUAUGAAAAUUAGCGGGGAUGUCAGAAAUAUUUUUAUGAGGCUAGAUUUAAAGUUUCAUAUUUUUCUGACACCCGUAGAGUGAGAAAUAAAAUCCGAAAGCUAUCUGAUAAAGAUUGCAGUUCGGCACAGUUUUCGGUGACCAAACGGAGUCGAAACUGAAAACUUAAGAUAUAUUCUUGCUCAGUACGUUAAACUGAGCCUGCCUGUCAAAUUUGAGCGAAAACGGACAUCCGGAAGGGCUCCAACGAAAUUUAUCAGAUUUCAGGCUGCCCGUAGUGAAUAGUGUGUAGUUGAGGGGCAAAAUGGUAAAAUGGGAUUAAAUCCCUUUUGCUUCUUCUUCCUCCCAGCCGUAGCAGCCCAAACCGCACACACACACACGCGCAUGGAAGGGAAGAGAGAAGCCUCUCUUUCUCUCUCUAAAUCUCUCCCAAAAAGAAUGGAUUUGGUGGAGAUUGAAGCUUGGAGGUGGAUCGCCUUCGUCUUCUUCAUCUUCUCCAUGGUUUGGAGCUCAUUUUGAGGUGAGCUUCUUGAGCCCUUUAAUGGUAGAUCUUUAAUGCUUGGUUUAAAUACCUUAUAAAUGGAUUUAGAGGAGUCCUAGCAUGCUAUCUAGAUGAUUAAUGCUUGAAUCAUGGAUCAAUUUAGUGAUUUCUUGCAUAGUUGUAACCUAGGGCUCCAAAAUGCAAACUUUCAAAAUAUGAGGGUUUGAUCUCAUUUGACCCUUCGUAAACCUAAUUGCUAGGUAACGAAACGCGUUGGCGAAGACGGUUCGGCAAUCCGACGAGCCGUUACAAAGUUAUUAAAGAAAUAGACGUUUAGGCUUCGGGUCCGCCGGGAGGGCCGAGGCGACGUCGUAAAAUCAUGGAAAUGGAUUUGAGGCAUCGUGGCACAUAACCGAAGACCUAUAAUUUUCGGGGCUGCGAAGCGGAGCACGGUUGAGGCGCAGUUGCAGUAUCGGGCCGUGCCGGAUACGGGUGCCGCGGGAGGCCGAUUGCAAGUGUCGACAAGCAAUCGGAACGCGAAUUAAGGUGGGUUGUGUUUACCGAAGCGACUAGGUCGCCUUUAUGUCUAAGAAACUAAGAAUCCAUAUUGAUGCAUAUAAAUGUAAAUGAAGCAUGUAAAUGAUGCAUGUAACUAAAUAAUGCAUGUUGAUAGUAUGAUGUAAAUGCUAAAUAGAAUGCAUUAUGAGCAAGUUACAUAAUGCUAAAUAAUGUAAUGUAGAAAUGCUAGAAUGCAUUAUGAGCAAGUUACAUAAUGCUAAAUAAUGUAAUGUAGAAAUGCUAGAAUGCAUAAUGAGCAAGUUAUAUGAUGCAUGUUUAUAGUACGAUGUAAAUGCUAAGUAGAUGCAUAUAAAUGAUAUAUGAGAUUAUAAACGCAUGAUUAGCAUUAUGAGAUCAUAGAUGCAUGCUUAGCAUUGUGAGAUUAUAUAUGCAUAUGAACUUGGCUGAUAACUCUAGCUUGAAUAGAGAGAUAACAUUGAAAAAUGAGAAUUGAUGACUCUAGAAUGAGUAGAAUGCUUAAUUGGACAAUUAGUAUGUGAAUUAGAUCGAGUGGCAUCUAACUUAGUGUUAAGGAACAUAGGUCGUGAGUAGACCUAUAAUCAAAUAGAUCGAGUGGCAUCUAACCUAGUGUUAUUAAACAUAGGUCGUGAAAUGAAAAGUACUUAACCUAGAGUCAAGUGAACCAAGGUUAGAAAGAAUAAUGAUCCUAGUGUAAUAAACCUAGGUUAAGAAUGUGAAAGCAAUAAAUCUAAUGGGUGAACUUAGGUUGAGUAAAGGCUUAGACCUAGAGAGGUCAGUUCCAUAGGGUUAAGACCAACCCCUAUGUGAUCUGAAAUGGAUUCCGGAAUCCCAAGGCUAAAAGGAUACACCCAAAGUGGUGUCGGGUGUGUGCGAUGAUUGCGCCGCCCAAGGGCUAAAGAACCUUUGUCGUGGCGUGUGCGACGAUUUCGCCGCCGGAUGGUUAGCCAGUUUGUGGAUCCUACCGCCUGUUGACUGAACCACUGUCGUGGUGUUUGUGCGACGAUUUCGCCGCCGGGUGGCUAAGUCAUGGACCUAGGCCGUUGUUGGGUGAGGUGCGAUUCGUCCGCCGCCAGACGGCUAGGACAGGAGUACGGUGAGCUGUUGCCAGCUGAGGUGCAUGUGAGAGUUCCUUCACCUCGAGCUAGACAGUGCGCGGACUAUCCGCGAUUGAUUGACUCAAGACCGAGUCGGGUGGCAUAGAGAACUAAGGUAAGAGAAACCUUAGGAAAGAAUGGCCAGUAGAAAAGUGCGACAAAGUGUAAAGAAUAAAGAAUAAGUAAAGAAUAAAGUUCGGCUAAGGAAUAAGAAUAGCUGAUUAGUAAAGAAAGGUUACAAGUAAAGAAUAGCUAAGAGCUAAAAGUAAUUAAAUGACAAGAGUAAAGAAUGAUUAAGAAUAUAAGUAGCGUUAAAGUAACCUACUUGCAUGAUUACAGGUAUUGCAUAUUGCAUUUCGUGAGGCAUGACAUGUAUUUCAAUUGAAUAUAUAUAUCUGUUGUAUAUUGUUGAACUAACAUGUUGCAGUGCCUCGUUAGACCUGUUGGUUGAGCUGGUUCUCUUGGGUGGCUAAACCCACUGAGGACUAUGGACAAUAGUCUCACCCCCGUGUUGCUGUUUUGGGGGUACAGGUACACACGUGUGCGGCGCGGCGGCGCAAGGCGAGGGCGUAGUUCUGCAGAUAGCGCCCUACCCCAGAGACCAGAGCUAGCAGUACCCCAUCUAUAUAGCUUAGGGGUAAAGGAAAUGAAAAGAAUACAAUGUAUCAAACUUGUAGUAAGUAAAUGUUGUAAUAACUUAGAUUGCAUUUGGAUGAAAAAGAAUGGAAACUGUGAUGUAAAAACUAUGAAAGUGAAUGAAUGUAAUAACUUAGGAUGUGUUUAUGUUGUAUGAUACCUUCCACUUGAAAUCUUGAUUGAUAUCCGUUCCUGGUUGGAACCUUCGUGAAUUGUAUUGAUUGCGAUGCUUUGAAUGUACAGGGGAGACUCUGUCCGUAGUACAAGGGAAACCUUGUCCAUUCGGCGAUGUCGGCGGCGCCGGGACCUUGGCCAAAUAGGCGGGUGGUCGCGGGCUGUGACAGUUGUGGUAUCAGAGCAUAAAGUAGAGAAUGGGAAUGGCUUAGACUGACCUAGGAGACCCUAGGAUAGUAAAACCAUAGAAGAAUAAGGCUCGUGAGAGACGAGGACUCAUGAUUCGUGGCGAAAGGUUAAUGGAUUGGGUUGUGUUGUAAACCUCUAAGACGGAUAUUAGAGGUAGACUCGAGGUGUUGUUUAUUCUCAGCCAAGGAUGUUCAUGUUGGGCGUACGACAACAUGAAACCGAGUGAUGUGAAUAAACACCCUUGCGUGACUUUCGCCUGAUUGGCUUUUGAGCCGGUGUUAGUGGUCUCGUGUUCGACCCAAGUUGGUCGAGAACUAAUCGAGUUGUCGUGUUUCAGGAAGCGAUGGCACCGCGUAGGCGAUCUUCUUCCAGAUCGGCGCGGGAGGGGACAAGUGGUGUUCCCGAGCAAGUCGACGCGAGCGAAGGCGCAGAGCUUCGUGAUCAGUUGGCCACACUCAUUGGAGUGAUGAGGCAACAAGCUGAUGUGGUGCAGAGGCAGCAGGAGGCUGCUAUGCGCCAGGAAGAGCGAAUGGAAAGACUCCAAGAAACGGUGGACCAGCUGGUGGGUGCACCAGCUGCGGCUCGUCGAGAACGGCCGGGAGUCGCGGCGGAGAUGUUCCCGUCGGGGUCGGGCGAUCCGACUCCUGUUAGUUCAGAGGUGGCGGCAGAAAGGGAGCGAGCUUUGGCUGCCCUCAUGGCUUUCAAGAAAUUUGAUCCGCCUACCUUCGAUGGUGAGGAUCCAGAUCCGUGGAUCGUGGAGAUGUGGAUUGAUGCCAUGGAAACGCUCUUCGAGGAUCUGUACACGUUGGAGCGAGACAAGGUAAACCUAGUCGCGCAUUAUCUCAAACAGUCGACGAAGGUGUAGUGGAAAGGCGUCAAGCAUGAUCGACCGCCUAGUCUCCCUCCUAUGACGUGGGAAGAAUUUCGGGGAUUGGUGUUCUCUGCUUAUUUCCCCGAUAGCGAGAAGCGGAAGCUCAAGGAAAGGUUCCUUAAGCUGCGGCAAGGAAGUCGCACGGUCAGGCAAUAGGAGCGGGAGUUUUUCCGUAUCGUGCAUUGUAUCCCAAACGUGGUGCGAGAUGACAAGGACAGGGCCGACUGCUUCGUGCGUGGACUUCAGCCAGAUCUUUACCAGGCGGUGCUGGUACUCAAGUUGCAGAUUUUUGCUGAAGUCCUGGAUCGGGCCUUGUGGAUAGAACAGGGCAACGCCUUUAUGCGGGAAGAGCGAGAGGCAUAUUACAAGGAAAAGGGGAAAGGACGACCGACAGGUGGAUCCAGUAGUCAGUCAAGUUCCCAACGGACUUUGACGAGUUCGCACUCGCGAUCCCGAGCUCCGGGGACAUACCGCAUUCAGUCCUCGGCGAAAUGUGCUAUUUGUGGAGGCCCUCAUUUCCCACGACAGUGUGAGCAACGUGAAGGCAAGUACUUCAAGUGUGGGCUGCCGGGUCAUAUGUGGGACGAGUGUCCGCGUGGUGACGGCCGGGCCUUGACACUGGCGACGGCCCAUCCCUCUCUGGGACAACCUGCAGGUGUGCCACCUGCGGCAUGGUCGGGAGAGCGGCCGUUGAGGACGAUGCAACCAGAGGGUUCGCGACGAGCGCCAGGUGGGCAUCGGUAAGCGACCCGAGUUGCAGAGCCUGCCGUUGCUGACGUCAUCGUGGCAGGUAUGAGUUAAUUGAGCAAGCAUGUGCUUUUACUAAUCUCAAGUUGGUGCAUAGCAUGCAUUUGUUGUUGGUCGGUUGCUACUAAUUAUAUAUUGCAUAGUAGGGACCGAAUAGUCGGGUAAGUAGACGCCCGUACAUGCUUGCAUUGUGAGAAGUGGCACCUGCUGGUGCAAGUAGAAAGCCAAGUGGUGCUAGCUAAUGGCUAGUGAUGAUUCUCCGGUACGGAAUGAGGCUCGUGGAGAACAUGGUCUAGUAAGUGACUCUCGAAAUAAUGGGUUGAAAAUUGUGAGAGUUGAGCCUUGAUGUUGAGGAUACUCGAAAGACACGGGAGUUGAGAAUGUAUUCCGGUAGAUCGAACAGUGAAGGUAGAAUCACUGUUGAGAGAGUAACCGUAUAGUUGCCGAAUACGGGCACGUAGGCCUAGUAGUACCUCAAGUUGAGGUCGGCGAGUCCUGCUCGUGUAGUCGGUGUGCAUAGGCAAGGUUGCCUGAUGCUAGAUUUCGUGGAACGCUUUAGAGGCGUAGAGCGCUCGAGUGUAGUUACUCGUGAAGUGCGGUUUUGAUUCAGCCGGUUGAGUGAAUUGGCAGUAGCACUUUAGCAGGGCUAAGUGUGAAGCGGGCCAUGGAUCACUCGUAGGGCUGGUGGCUCGCACUAGGUACCUGGGGGCCGAUAGAGUGUGUAGCUCUGUAGAGCAUGUCGUUUAGGACGACGACGACGAGUGGUGCUUGAGGAUGACCCGUGCCUGGACCGUUUGUGAACUGUGUAGCCUGGGCCCAUUGGGCAGGCGCAGUCAGCUGUGAGAGACAGCGGCCCGAUACCUACUGGUAGGGCAUAGUGUUGGUCAGGACGGUAGUCCGAGCUUGGACAUAAGUACGUGGAAUGCCACGCGAUAGAUCGUGAGAUUGAUGGCACACCAAGUGUGUAGUGACCCAACCCGAGGACUUGACGUGGUCUAGGAUCUUGGUUGCACCUGGUUGGAGUGUGUGUGAAUUCUCCAAUGAGAAUUUCGCCCAAUGAUGAUUGGAUCUACGAUGCGGGCAAGAGACGCUAUGCGUAGUUGUGACAGGUAUAGGCGGUAGGCCUACGUAAUGAUUAUGAUCGUUGGUCCGCCUGUGAAAACCGAUGAUCAGUGCGGCAAGCAACUCUGUUAGUGAGUUGGGCUUGGAUUCACGAACGGAGGGUUCGUGUGAUGUUGAACGUGGCUUGUGGUAGUAAAGGAUAAAGAGAAAAGUAAAGUGUUCUCUAGGAGACACUUGAAUAAGAAAUAGCCACGUGAGGGUUGGUGUAAGGAAGUGAAUUCUCGAAAUGCGAGAGUUGGACUUCGCUCAAAAUCGACAAAUUGUCGAGUGGUUGUGCUUCGGAAAUGCCGAAGAGGUCAAAUACACCAAAGGUGCAUUGCAACGGAUCUGCGAGAGCAAGUGUGCAAAAAUCUGCACUUGGCAGAUUUGCUCUCGGGGACCGAUCCCUGUCAAGGAAGGACCGGUCCCCCGUAGCUGGUUGGUGCGAGGUUGCGUGAUGCAACCGGUCCCUUGGCCAGAGGGACCGGUCCCCCGUAUGCGAAACCGGCGAGAAGAGGAAAUUGGCUAAGUCCUGCGAGAGCAAGCUCUCGGGGACCGGUCUCUAGUGGACAGACCGGUCUCCGGGGGACCGGUCCUCCAGGGACAGACCGGUUCCCGUAAGUGUGUUCAGGCUGAAGGCUCUCGGGGACCGGUCCCUGGCAGGGAGAGACCGGUCCCUCUACACAUAAAAUUUUCCAGGCAGGCUGGGUCAUGUUGGAGGAGUUGGAAUUGUUUGAGUUUCGAGGACGAAACUCUUAUAAGGAGGGGAGAAUGUAACAUACCGAAUUUUAAAUAUAAAAGAGAAAAAUAAAUAAAAAUAGUAUGAGAUACUAUUUUAUUGGAUUUAGAGAAGUGAAAUAUCGGUUGGGAACGACCUGUGCUGAAAUCGGAGCGAAAACAGAAGAUUUAGAAUUUUCUGUUGGAAACGGGACUGAUAAAUUAGCAGAAAAUGCACAGUCUCAGAAAAUUAUAAAAAAUUAGAGGAUAAGUCAGAAAUAUUUUUAUGAGGCUAGAUUUGAAGUUUCAUAUUUUUCUGACGCCCGUAGAGAGAGAAAUAGCAUCCGAAAGCUAUCUGAUAAAGAUUGCAGUUCGGUACAGUUUUCAGUGACCAAACGGGGUCGAAACUGAAAUAUUAAAAUUUCUUUGGACUUAUUAAGUAAAACCGAGCAUGCCUGUCAAAUUUGAGCUCAAACGGACAUUCAGAAGGGCUCCGGCGAAAAAUAAACUGCCCGAAGUGAAUAGUGCGUAGUUGAGGGGCAAAAUGGUAAAAAGGGUUUAAAACCCCUUUUCUUCUUCUCCUCCCAACCGUGGCUGCCCCAACCGCACACACCACACACGCAUACACAAGAACACACACACGCAUGGAAAGGAAAGGAGAGAAAUCCCUUUCUCUCUCUAAAUCUCUCCCAAAAUGGAUGGAUUUGGUGGAGAUUGAAGCUUGGAGGUGGAUCGCCUUCGUCUUCUUCAUCUUCUCCAUGGUUUGGAGCUCAUUUUGAGGUGAGCUUCUUGAGCCCUUUAAUGGUAGAUCUUUAAUGCUUGGUUUAAAUACCUUAUAAAUGGAUUUAGAGGAGUCCUAGCAUGCUAUCUAGAUGAUUAAUGCUUGAAUCAUGGAUCAAUUUAGUGAUUUCUUGCAUAGUUGUAACCUAGGGCUCCAAAAUGCAAACUUUCAAAAUAUGAGGGUUUGAUCUCAUUUGACCCUUCGUAAACCUAAUUGCUAGGUAACGAAACGCGUUGGCGAAGACGGUUCGGCAAUCCGACGAGCCGUUACAAAGUUAUUAAAGAAAUGGACGUUUAGGCUUCGGGUCCGCCGGGAGGGCCGAGGCGACGUCGUAAAAUCAUGGAAAUGGAUUUGAGGCAUCGUGGCACAUAACCGAAGACCUAUAAUUUUCGGGGCUGCGAAGCGGAGCACGGUUGAGGCGCAGUUGCAGUAUCGGGCCGUGCCGGAUACGGGUGCCGCGGGAGGCCGAUUGCAAGUGUCGACAAGCAAUCGGAACGCGAAUUAAGGUGGGUUGUGUUUACCGAAGCGACUAGGUCGCCUUUAUGUCUAAGAAACUAAGAAUCCAUGUUGAUGCAUAUAAAUGUAAAUGAAGCAUGUAAAUGAUGCAUGUAGCUAAAUAAUGCAUGUUGAUAGUAUGAUGUAAAUGCUAAAUAGAAUGCAUUAUGAGCAAGUUACAUAAUGCUAAAUAAUGUAAUGUAGAAAUGCUAGAAUGCAUUAUGAGCAAGUUACAUAAUGCUAAAUAAUGUAAUGUAGAAAUGCUAGAAUGCAUAAUGAGCAAGUUAUAUGAUGCAUGUUUAUAGUAUGAUGUAAAUGCUAAGUAGAUGCAUAUAAAUGAUAUAUGAGAUUAUAAACGCAUGAUUAGCAUUAUGAGAUCAUAGAUGCAUGCUUAGCAUUGUGAGAUUAUAUAUGCAUAUGAACUUGGUUGAUAACUCUAGCUUGAUUAGAGAGAUAACAUUGGAAAAUGAGAAUUGAUAACUCUAGAAUGAGUAGAAUGCUUAAUUGGACAAUUAGUAUGUGAAUUAGAUCGAGUGGCAUCUAACUUAGUGUUAAGGAACAUAGGUCGUGAGUAGACCUAGAAUCAAAUAGAUCGAGUGGCAUCUAACCUAGUGUUAAUAAACAUAGGUCGUGAAAUGAAAAGUACUUAACCUAGAGUCAAGUGAACCUAGGUUGGAAAGAAUAAUGAUCCUAGUGUAAUAAACCUAGGUUAAGAAUGUGAAAGCAAUAAACCUAAUGGGUGAACUUAGGUUGAGUAAAGGCUUAGACCUAGAGAGGUCAGUUCCAUAGGGUUAAGACCAACCCCUAUGUGAUGUGAAAUGGAUUCCGGAAUCCCAAGGCUAAAAGGAUACACCCAAAGUGGUGUCGGGUGUGUGCGACGAUUUCGCCGCCCAAGGGCUAAAGAACCAUUGUCGUGGCGUGUGCGACGAUUUCGCCGCCGGAUGGUUAGCCAGUUUGUGGAUCCUACCGCCUGUUGACUGAACCACUGUCGUGGCGUUUGUGCGACGAUUUCGCCGCCGGGUGGCUAAGUCAUGGACCUAGGCCGUUGUUGGGUGAGGUGCGAUUCGUUCGCCGCCAGACGGCUAGGACAGGAGUACGGUGAGCUGUUGCCAGCUGAGGUGCAUGUGAGAGUUCCUUCACCUCGAGCUAGACAGUGCGCGGACUAUCCGCGAUUGAUUGACUGAAGACCGAGUCGGGUGGCAUAGAGAACUAAGGUAAGAGAAACCUUAGGAAAGAAUGGCCAGUAGAAAAGUGCGACAAAGUGUUAAGAAUAAAGAAUAAGUAAAGAAUAAAGAUCGGCUAAGGAAUAAGAAUAGCUGAUUAGUAAAGAAAGGUUACAAGUAAAGAAUAGCUAAGAGCUAAAAGUAAACAUUAAAUGACAAGAGUAAAGAAUGAUUAAGAAUAUAAGUAGCGUUAAAGUAACCUACUUGCAUGAUUACAGGUAUUGCAUAUUGCAUUUCGUGAGGCAUGACAUGUAUUUCAAUUGAAUAUAUAUAUCUGUUGUAUAUUGUUGAACUAACAUGUUGCAGUGCCUCGUUAGACCUGUUGGUUGAGCUGGUUCUCUUGGGUGGCUAAACCCACUGAGGACUAUGGACAAUAGUCUCACCCCCGUGUUGCUGUUUUGGGGGUACAGGUACACACGUGUGCGGCGCGGCGGCGCAAGGCGAGGGCGUAGUUCUGCAGAUAGCGCCCUACCCCAGAGACCAGAGCUAGCAGUACCCCAUCUAUAUAGCUUAGGGGUAAAGGAAAUGAAAAGAAUACAAUGUAUCAAACUUGUAGUAAGUAAAUGUUGUAAUAACUUAGAUUGCAUUUGGAUGAAAAAGAAUGGAAACUGUGAUGUAAAAACUAUGAAAGUGAAUGAAUGUAAUAACUUAGGAUGUGUUUAUGUUGUAUGAUACCUUCCACUUGCAAUCUUGAUUGAUAUCUGUUCCUGGUUGGAACCUUCGUGAAUUGUAUUGAUUGCGAUGCUUUGAAUGUACAGGGGAGACUCUGUCCGUAGUACAAGGGAAACCUUGUCCAUUCGGCGAUGUCGGCGGCGCCGGGACCUUGGCCAAAUAGGCGGGUGGUCGCGGGCUGUGACAAUCAAUCCUACAGUUGAGGAUUCCAAGUUCAAUCCAUUCCUUAACUUUAAGGAAGACUAUGCUCAAUUGACCCUUAGUACUAAGGUUGAAUGUCAUAAUAUCUCAAUCGUUCUUGUUCUUGCAUUCUUUACUACCACUAAUGUCAUAUACACUAUCAAGUUCUUGAACUCAUGCCACACUUGUUCUCUAAAUGCUAGAUUUUUGUCCUCAUGCCAAAUGCCACACUUGUUUACUAAGGAUUCUAGACUCGUCGAUGUCAUUUGCUAGAUCUAUGUCAAAGUGUCACUUUUCGUUUACUAACCCUUCUAGGUUCUUGUCACAAUCAUGCAUACAUAGGGAUCAUCAUUCUCACACCCUUACAAAUAUUUAACAUGCAUUUGAAUUUACAUUAAACUAUAACAAAACUCACAAUUGACCCUAUUAUGCAAGAUGCUCAAAAAUGCACAUAUACUCAAAAUAUAACAAUUAGACAUAGAAAGACUUCCGAUGUCCUUGGAAUGCACCACCUACCUUAGAUGGUUACAAGGAUACUUCGGUGAAUUUCUUGGAAUUUUUUUGAAACCCUAAUCCGCGUGCUGCGGCUAUCUGUACGGAAAACGAUGUUUUUGUCAAUAACUUUGCAUACACUCGUCGGAUUGUCGAACCGAGCGUUCCAACGCGUUUAAAAUACCCUCAAUUAGGUUUCUACAUGAUCAAAAUAUAUCAAAACCUAACUUGGGCAAAACCCCUCUUUGGGAUGCCCUAACAUGCAAUUUUUGUAUUUUUCCUAGAUUGAUCUCAUUACUAAGAAAAAGAAAGCUUAGAAUCACUUGGGAAGCUUUCUAACAAGGUUUCUAAACUUUUAGAACCAUCCCUAGAGCAUCUACUUUGAGCCCUAGUGAUCCACCAUGAGAGGGGUCCAAGAAAUCCAUGUUUUUCAUGGAGUCAUGGUUCUUAGAGGAUUUCCUCACUUGUAGAGAGAUCAAGACCCAAAAAUCUAAGGUCUAAACCCAAACCCUAAACCCAUUUUUGCAUAAGGACUCACUUUUGCCCAAGCUCCAUCAAAGCCUACUUGUUGGAGAGCUUCUAGGAACACCAAAGCCACCAAAAUCCAUUUCUCCAAGCUCUUCUCCACCUUCUCCAAGCUCUAGGGCUUGCUUUCUAGAGAGAGAAAGAGAGGAAAAUGAGAGAGGGGGAUGUGUGUGGCUGUGGGAGGGAGAGAGAGAGGUGUUGGGGAGUUAACAUGUUGCUACAAUUGCAACUAGGCCCUCCAUUUCUUUUUAUUUGCGUCAGACCUCACUGGGCUGUCUGGGGCCUCUUGUACCGGUACAAGGAUUCUUGUACGGGUACAAGGCCAAACAGUGAGCCAAACCCGAGAGCUGCCUCUUGGGUUCGCAGGGUCUGUACCGGUACAAGGGGUCUUGUACCGGUACAAGGCCUGGACUGCACCAACCCGAGAGCUGCCUCUCGGGUUCGCAGGGUCUGUACCGGUACAAGGGGUCUUGUACCGGUACAAGGCCUGGACUGCACCAAUCCGAGAGCUACUCAGCUCGGAUUGCGCUGGUUGUACCGGUACAACUAUCACCUUGUACCGGUACAACAGCUCCAGAAUGUUGUUUUAGGCUUCGAUUCGACUCUACCUCGCGUCGGUCGAUGCUAAAACCAUUCUAAGUCUUCCCAAACUCAUUUUUAGCCCUUCCAACAUUAUUGGAAUGCAAGAGGAACUUGUCUAUCGUUUUCUUUCGAUGCUUUAACCAAUUUGGUCAAAGUUCAAUUAUCGUUUUCGGGUUUCGAUAUGUUACAUGCAGCUUGCCUCCUUCGGACCUGUCGAUCGAGCUUUUCCCUUGAGCGGCCGUACCCACUGGGAACUAUGGAGUUAGUUCUCACCCCACGUUGCUUUUGGGGUGUUACAGGUUCACACGUGAGCGGCGCGGCCACGCGAGGCGAGGGCGUAGCUCCGUAGAUAGAGCCCUACCACCGUGACCAGAGAUAGCAGUACCCAAGUCAGCCAAGCUAGGGGUUGUAGAAAAUGAAAGCAAAAUGAUCAAACUUGUAAUAAUCUUGUGAUGAUUGAUUGUAUUCGGAAGUUUAAAUGUAUUUGAAAGGAAAAGAAAUGUAAAUAAUAUCAAGUGAAUGAAUGUAAUAACUUAGGAUGUGUUUAUGUUGUUUGAUACCUUCCUUAUGCAAUCGUUGUAUGUUGAAUACUGUUCUUGGUUGGAACCUGUUGUAAUUGUAUUGAUUGCGACGCCUAGGACGUACAGGAAAAACUCUGUCCGUUCGGCGGUCUGUCGGCGUGCCGAACCUGACCAAAUAGGCGGGGCUCGGGGCGUGACAACACUGGACCUUUGUAAAUUGUGAGGUUCGAGUGUUUGAUUUGUAUUCUGAGCUUUUCCACAUUUUUUGGAAGGUCGUAGAUAGUGUUUCGACCUAUGGCUCGCAUCUCGAGAAUCGAGAUUUUAAACUUAGCGCUAAGGUCUCCAAAGAGAAGGACUUAGGCUGCUCUCGGGUUGGUUUCUGCAGAGUGUGGUACCGGUACAGCAUUGAGCUUGUACCUGAAUGAGGGGUGGUACCGGUACAACAUCGGGUUUGUACCGGUAUCAGGCAUCGUUUUCUGCCAACCCGAGGCUCGGGUUUGCGUGCACAGUGUUUGAUACCGGUACUCUUGCCCGAUGGUACCAGUACGCAGUGCAGUCCGCAAACUGCUUGUUUUGGGAGGGUGUUUUUACAAUUAUAGCAUCUCUAUAUAACACCCCACGCCCCUUAGGUGUUUCCCUGAGCUUGGAAACACAGGAGGAAGGGAGGAAAGCCCUCCACUUCCACCCUUUGGUUUUUUUUGAUUUAUGUUGGAAUUUUUCAGAUUUAAUCCUCUCUUUUUGUCCCUUUUUGCUUGUUGGUAGUAUUUCCACCAUGGUUGAAGGCUUGGAGCUUGGAGAAAAGCUUGUUGGAGGAGAGAUCUUCAACCCUAGUUGAUUUCAAGCCUUAUUUGGAGCUUCUCUUGAGGUUAGUAAUAUAUUUCUUGCUUUAGAUUCAUGUUUUAAUUGAUUUCUUGAGAUGAAACCCUAGAAUGUGAAACCUAGGGUUUAUUUUGGGGGUUUUUAAUUUGUAGCUCUUGGGGCUCAAUUGAUAGGUGUAGAACAUCUCGUUGGGAUAGAUUUGAAGGGCUCUAGCAUCCAUUUGAAAUUUGAGAGGGAUUUUCUAAACAUUAGGUGAGUUUUGCCUUAUUGUUGGAUUUGUUAAAGAUGAACACUUUGGGUGUUCGGUUAUUUUGUUUAACCCUCUUAGAAUUCUCUUUAGGGAGCUAAGAGACUUAUGGACAACUUCUUUUGUGUAAACGAAAGGGUUGCAAGAAGCCUCGGUGAGUUUGACCUCACCAAAAUGAGAAAAUCUCACCUAUGUCUUUUUAAAUAUUAUAAAAUAGAAAAUCAUGCAUAUUCAUGCUAGAUAAGGCAUAAAUGAAUUUUAGAAUGCUUGAAAUACACAUAUUAUAUACAAUGCAAAUUUGUACCUCUAUGUAGUAGAGAGUUAUAUAUGUCGGAAUCUUGCAUAUAAAUAGCAUUCUUAUAUGUGGCUUGGGAUCAUGUUUCAUGUAGUGAAAAUGACAAGUAUAAUAUGCCCUUGGACAUAGAUCUUAUAUUGGACAUAGGAGAAAACAUAAUGCCAUAAAGAGGCAUUAGACUAUAGUGAUGUGUGAAUUAGUAAGCUAAUGUCAUAAAGUGGCAUUAGGCUUAGAAUGUACUUGGACAUAGUAAGCUAAUGUCAUAAAGUGACAUUGGGCUUAAAAUGUGAUUGGACUUAGUAUGUUAAUGUCAUAAAGUGACAUUGAACUUAAUAUAUAGUUAAACCUUACCUUGGAACAUUAAACUAGACCGUUGGGGUUGCUAAUGAUUAUUACCAUGUUAGAGACAUGAUGACCGGGUUCUUGAGAUGACGACUAUGCUUGCUUACUAUUUGUGCUCAUUCGCACAUACUUGUGAGGGUCGCUCCCUACAAGCCGGCACUCCGGAGUUAGCCUACACGACAUAUACUCGCUUGUGCGGUAUUGAGAAGCCUACGGGGCCGGGUAGGAUAGACUCAUUCCUAGAGUGGGAAUAUUGAGCUACCACUGGCAUUUAGGCGGCACAAGCCGGACUACACUUGUAUAGGUCCUAAAAUGAGAUUGGAUAAUGACAUUAAACCAUAAUAUGACAAUCACUACUAGAUAGUUGUAGUAGUUGAAUUUCUUGAACAUGCUUGUGGCAUAGUAUUAAACACUUGGUUGAUAUACUUGGACAUAUAGUAUACUUGAUAGGGUUGCUUGUUGCAUUAUAGUAUACUUGUAUGACAUGUUUAAAGCACACUAGUAUAUAUUCUAAUGAUAUACUCAUCCAUGUUAGGCUAGCUAAUGCAAUUGUGGAACUUCAUGUUAUGUAAUGGCAUAGUAGCUAACAAAUUUAAUUCAUGUUUUAUUAUUCAUACUAUCGCUUCCAAUUAAGUGUUAGAAUUAUCUACUUUGCUUUUGGGCCUAGUGGUGCAUUUGCUAAGGUCAGUAAUUGUCUACUGGGAACUAUUAAUUAUAGUUCUCACGCCCCCUGUUUGUUAUUUUCUUUCAGAGCCUUCCACCUCGAGAGAGGCUCGGGAUCACGGGAAAGGGAUCGCCUCGAGCUAGUUAGCGAGAGAUUGUGCGAUAGGUGGUCCACCUCUCUUUUUAUUUCAUUUUGGAGAGGUUGAGAGAUCUAUACCAUUUUGUAGAGACCACCAUUUUGGAUAUUAUAGCACUUGUAUUUGAGACUUUUGAUGGAUUACUCUAUGUCUUAUCUUACUGGGUUUCCACCCUUCAUGAGCUUUGUAGUGAAGAAUAUUGAUUAAAAAUGUGGAUUUGCAAGCUAGCUAAAUACUAAUUGGUCAUAGUCACAAUUCUCCAAAUGUUGGUGGAUUUGAUUAGUUGAAUAAGAAGUUAAUUAAAAAUAAAAAAAAACUAAUUGGUAGAAGCUCUUUACGACAACAUCAUUCCUUUUCCAUUCAUUGUUUCAGGAGGGUAUAUUUAGGGUUGUAGCCGCAAUACUUCAUAUAGGAAAUAUCGACUUUUCAAAGGGGACAUAUAUAAAUAGAUUCAUCUGUAAUAAAGGAUGAGAAAGCAAGGUUCCAUUUGAACACAGCAGCAGAACUUCUAAUGUAUGUCGAUUUCAUUCCAGCACCAUAGGCCAUUUUUUUUCUAUAAUUUCCGAAAGCUAGAUGUUUGUAGUUUAUUAUUCAUGUAAUUCAUCAGCUAAUGUUUUUGCAGGUGUGAUAGCGAGAAACUAGAGAAAGCACUGAUAACACGUGUGAUAGUAACACCAGAAGGAGUUAUUACUAGAACGCUUGACCCUGCUUCUGCAAUUGUUAGCAGGUAUGGAUUAGCAAAAACAAUAUACUCCCGGUUGUUUGAUUGGUAAUGUGUUUGAUUAUAUAAGAUUAGUUCCUACACAAAUUAAAGAGUAUUUCGUUAUUGAUGCAAAGCAAGAAAUUUUAUUCCUCUUUUGUUAGAAACUGACUAUUAAUGAAUCCUAUGGAUGAAAACAGUGACUGGAAAAGCUAUAGGUAUUUAUUGCAAUUAAGUUUAGUGAUAUCUGUUAUUUGUAUUUAUUACACUAAAAAGCCCAGUGGUUAGGCAACAAUUAUAUAAAUAGAUAAAAAAGUGAUUAAUAUAAACAAACAGAGCAUAUGCAUGAAUAUCCAAAGCUAAUUAAAAAUGAAAAAAAAAAUCAAAAAAAUGAUCAAAACUUACCAAAAGAAAGUAGUGAGAAAGAAGGAAAGUGGACGAACGAUUCCUCCCAAGCGGCGAUCGUGUGCGGCUCGGAGAAGGUCCUCCUAAGCGGCGAUCGCGUGUGACACGACGAAGGUCCUCUGUAAGGUACCGGACUUCUAAAAUUAUGAAGUUACGGUGUACAUUUAAAUAGUUCCGGUGAGGUUGCGGUGGAAUGUAACAUACCGGAUUUUAAAUAUAAAAGAGAAAAAUAAAUAAAAAUAGUAUGAGAUACUAUUUUGUUGGAUUUAGAGAAGUGAAAUAUCGGUUGGGAACGACCUGUGCUGAAAUCGGAGCGAAAACAGAAGAUUUAGAAUUUUCUGUUGGAAACGGGACUGAUAAAUUAGCAGAAAAUGUACAGUCUCAGAAAAUUAUAAAAAUUGGCGGGGAUGUUAGAAAUAUUUGUAUGAGGCUAGAUUUAAAGUUUCAUAUUUUUCUGACACCCGUAGAGUGAGAAAUAAAAUCCGAAAGUUAUCUGAUAAAGAUUACAGUUCGGCACAGCUUUCGGUGACCAAACGGGGUCGAAACUGAAAUAUUAAAAUUUCUUUGGACUCUUUAAGUAAAACCGAAUAUGACUGUCAGAUUUGAGCUCAAACGGAUAUUCAAGGAGCUGCGAAAGAUAUCAGAUUUGGAACUCUGAUUUGAUGUGAAUGUUUAUGUAUAUUGACAGGUUGUUGACUAUAAGUAAGAAGGUACUAGCUUCUUCCUUUCACGCCGGACCAUCCACCCUAACAAGCACACGUUCACAUGGGAAUCGAGCGUCGGUGUAGUGAUGAGAACCAUCCUUUUUCUCUCUCUAAAUAUCGUUCUCAGUCUCUCAUAUAUUUCUGCCCAAAUUGCGGCGGGUGGGUGGAGAUCGAGUUGUGAACUCCUUUUGGAGGCGCCGGAUGAAGCGUUUCGUACGCGCGUUGGAGCGGCGUGUUUUCGUCUUUUGCGGGUUCACUUGGGGUAAGCUUUUGAGGAUUUGCUUUAAUCUUAGCUUUAAAGUGUUCUGUAGCCUCUAAUGAAUCUUUGUUUGGCAUGUUGAUCCAUUUUAUAUUGGAAUUAUUUGGAGGGUUAAUUGUACGUUAGGGCACUCAAAUUGCAACGUUUUUAAAAAUAUGACGGGUUGGAUCUCAUUUUGCUUUCAGUAACUAAUUGUAGUAACGAAAAAGGUUGGCGAAGACGGUUCCGAGUAAUCCGACGAGCGUUACAGAAGUUAUUAAAGAGAAUAGACGUUUAGCUUCGGCGUCUGUGCGGGAGGGCCAAGGCCAGACGUCGUAAAUCAUGAUAAUGGAUUUAAUGGCAUCGUGGCACGUAACGAAGACUAUAAUUUUCGGGGGGUCGCGAAGCGGAAACACGUGGGCGCAGUUGAGUAUCGGGCGGCGGAUACGGGUGGCGAAAGGGCCAAUUUGCAGAGUGCUCACAAGCAAUCGGAACGCGAAUGGAGGUGGGUUGUGCUUACGAAUGCGACUAUGUCGCCUUGUCUUUAGCAUUAUCUCUAUUGAUUGCAUGUGCAUGUAGGACAAGACUAAAUGGUGAUAAUAAUAUGCAAUUAAUGUAAAGGCUAAUGUGAAGAAUGGGCAUGUACAACGAUUGCAGCUGACUAAAAUAUAGCUAAGUAGCGCAAGGGUGAGAAUGUAAUUGCUAGUAAUGUUAAGAGUGAUAUUAAUAAUAAGUUGCAUAGAUAGAAAUGUCAAUGUAUGAUGAGGAAUUAGAUGAGUAUCUCGUAGUAAGCCGAGUGAUGGACAAAUAGGAGUUGCUCAAGGUAUAAUGAGUGGCAUUCACUAGUGGUAAAGAAUCAUAGUGUGAUGUGAACAUAGUUUGGAAAAGAAGAAUGAUCUAUGUGUAAAUAAACUAGGUUUAUAGAAUGUGAAGCAUAAAUAAUGGGUGACUUUAGGGUUGAGGUAAGGGUUAGUAUCCUAGCAGAUAAGUUUCCAUUAGGGUUGAAGACCAACCCUUGUGAUGAUGAAAUGCGAUUCCGGAAUCCCAAGGCUAUAGGAUUACACCAAAGUAGGUUGUUGAGGGUGUGCGACGAUUUCGCGCCAAAGGGCUAAAGAACAUUGUACGUGGCAGUGUGCGUACGAUUUCGCGCCGGAAUGGUUAGCCAGUUGUGGUUAUCUACGCUGUUGACUGAACACUGUCGUCGCGUUUUGCGCGAUUUCAGCCGGCCGUGGUGGCUAAGUCAUGGACUAGGGCCGAUUGUUUGAGAUGAGUGCAUUAGUUCGCCGCCAGACGGCUAGGACAGGAGUACGGUGAGCUGUUGCCAGCUGAGGUACAUGUGAGAGUUCCUUCACCUCGAGCUAGACAGUGUGCUGACUAUCCGCGAUUGAUCGACUCAAGACCGAGUCGGGUGGCAUAGAGAAGUAAGGUAAGAGAAACCUUAGGAAAGAAUGGCCAGUGAAAAAGUGCAACAAAGUGUAAAGAAUAAAGAAUAAGUAAAGAAUAAAGAUCGGCUAAGGAAUAAGAAUAGCUGAUAAAGUAAAGAAAGGUUACAAGUAAAGAAUAGCUAAGAGCUAAAUGUAAACAUUAAAUGAUAAGAGUAGCGUUAAAGUAACCUACUUGCAUGAUUACAGGUAUUGCAUAUUGCAUUUCGUGAGGCAUGAUAUGUAUUUCAAUUAAAUAUAUAUCUGUUGUAUAUUGUUGAACUAACAUGUUGCAGUGCCUCCUCGGACCUAUCGGUC